GUCUACUAUGCAUGUUAGCAAUUGUAGACAGAGCAUGCAAAUUGAUGCAUCUGAUAGCCAGAACCCUUUUUUACUAACUGACCAAGUAGGUGACGAAGCAAAUGGAAGCCUGGCUUCUACUAUACCAGUCCAGGAUGCAUCGACAAUCAGUUAUUUUCAUCAGCCGCAUACAGCCUCUGUACCUCUUACCCAUCUCCAUAAUGAUCAAGAUGUGUAUAGCAUGCCUCUUCUAAAUCAAUGUCAUCGUCUUCUUCUGGCUCUGAUGAUUGUGAUGGAAGAGAUGAGAUUUCUAAGGAACUUAAAGACACUGGAUCCAGCAAGAUAAAGACAUUAGCAGCUCACAGAUCUUCUGAUUUAGAUAAGGCUAUGAAUCAGAAGAAAGUGGAUCGCUCUUCUUGUGGAUCCAAUACGGCAUCAAGUAGUGAAGUAGAAACAUACACCAUGGAGAAGAAACAUGAAAAAGUGAAU